rnacentral:rRNA from 1 species
UAUGCAGUANUACGAUAGCAUCGCUAUCGUGCAGCAGCGCGUAAUACGGAAGAUGCAAGUGUAUCCGGAUUUAUUGGGUUUAAAGGGUGCGUAGGUGGUCUAAUAAGUCAGUGGUGAAAUCUCUUUGCUUAACAAGGAAAUUGCCAUUGAAACUGUUAGACUUGAGAAUGGACGAGGUAGGCGGAAUUCGUAGUGUAGCGGUGAAAUGCAUAGAUAUUACGAAGAACUCCAAUAGUGUAGACUGCUUACCAGACCAUAUCUGACACUAAGGCACGAAAGUGUGGGUAUCAAACAGGAUUAGAUACCCUGGUAGUCCACACAGUAAACGAUGAAUACUAACUGUUUGCGAUAUACAGCAAGUGGUCGAGCGAAAGCGUUAAGUAUUCCACCUGGGAAGUAUGCCGGCAACGGUGAAACUCAAAGGAAUUGACGGGGGCCCGCACAAGCGGAGGAACAUGUGGUUUAAUUCGAUAAUACGCGAGGAACCUUACCCGGGCUCGAACGAUAUUUGAAUACAUCCGAAAAGAUGUAGCUAGCAAUAGCAAAUACCGAGGUGCUGCAUGGUUGUCGUCAGCUCGUGCCGUGAGGUGUCGACUUAAGUGUCAUAACGAGCGCAACCCUUACCGAUAGUUACCAUCAGAUAAUGCUGGGGACUCUAUUGGGACUGCCACCGUAAGGUGUGAGGAAGGAGAGGAUGACGUCAAAUCAGCACGGCCCUUAUGUCCGGGGCGACACACGUGUUACAAUGGGAGAAACAAAGGGUCGCUACCUGGCAACAGGAUGCUAAUCUCGAAAAUCUCUCUCAGUUCGGAUUGGAGUCUGCAACUCGACUCCAUGAAGCUGGAUUCGCUAGUAAUCGCACAUCAGCCAUGGUGCGGUGAAUACGUUCCCGGGCCUUGUACACACCGCCCGUCAAGCCAUGGAAGCUGGAAGUACCUGAAGUAUGUAACUGAAAAGAGCGUCCU